rnacentral:rRNA from 1 species
UACGUAGGGUCCAAGCAUUAUCCGGAAUUACUGGGCGUAAAGAGUUCGUAGGUGGUUUUUUAAGUUAGGUGUUAAAUAUAUGGGCUCAACUCAUAUGCCGCAUCUAAUACUGGGAAACUUGAGAGUGGAAGGGGCAGACGGAAUUCACGGUGGAGUGGUAAAAUGCGUAGAUAUCGUGAAGAACACCAAUGGCGAAGGCAGUCUGCUGGGCCACUUCUGACACUGAGGAACGAAAGCGUGGGGAGCGAUCGGG